AUUGAACGCUGGCGGCAGGCCUAACACAUGCAAGUCGAACGGUAACAGGAAGAAGCUUGCUUCUUUGCUGACGAGUGGCGGACGGGUGAGUAAUGUCUGGGAAACUGCCUGAUGGAGGGGGAUAACUACUGGAAACGGUAGCUAAUACCGCAUAACGUCGCAAGACCAAAGAGGGGGACCUUCGGGCCUCUUGCCAUCGGAUGUGCCCAGAUGGGAUUAGCUAGUAGGUGGGGUAACGGCUCACCUAGGCGACGAUCCCUAGCUGGUCUGAGAGGAUGACAAGCCACAGUGGAACGGAGACCCGGCCCAGACCCCGAGGGGGGGCAGGGGGGGGGAAUUUUGCACAAGGGGGGAAAGCCUGAUGCAGCCAGGCCGGGGGUAUGAAGAAGGCCUUCGGGUUGUAAAGUACUUUCGGGGGGGGGGAAGGGAGUAAAGUUAAAACCUUUGCUCAUUGACGUUACCCGAAGAAGAAGCACCGGCUAACUCCGU
rnacentral:rRNA from 1 species